GACGAACGCUGGCGGCGUGCUUAACACAUGCAAGUCGAACGGAAAGGCCCUGCUUUUGUGGGGUGCUCGAGUGGCGAACGGGUGAGUAACACGUGAGUAACCUGCCCUUGACUUUGGGAUAACUUCAGGAAACUGGGGCUAAUACCGGAUAGGAUCUCCUGCUGCAUGGUGUGGGUUGGAAAGUUUCGGCGGUUGGGGAUGGACUCGCGGCUUAUCAGCUUGUUUGUGGGGUAGUGGCUUACCAAGGCUUUGACGGGUAGCCGGCCUGAGAGGGUGACCGGCCACAUUGGGACUGAGAUACGGACCAGACUCCUACGGGAGGCAGCAGUGGGGAAUAUUGCACAAUGGGCGGAAGCCUGAUGCAGCAACGCCGCGUGCGGGAUGCCGGCCUUCGGGUUGUAAACCGCUUUCGCCUGUGACGAAGAGUGAGUGACGGUAAUGGGUAAAGAAGCACCGGCUAACUACGUG
rnacentral:rRNA from 1 species